rnacentral:misc_RNA from 1 species
GAUGAAGAACGUAGCGAAAUGCGAUAAGUAAUGUGAAUUGCAGAAUUCAGUGAAUCAUCGAAUCUUUGAACGCACAUUGCGCCCGCCAGUAUUCUGGCGGGCAUGCCUGUUCGAGCGUCAUUUCAACCCUCAAGCCCAGCUUGGUGUUGGGGAUCGGCACCGGCGCCCUCGGGCGCCAGCCGUCCCCUAAAUCUAGUGGCGGUCCCGCUGCAGCCUCCUCUGCGUAGUAGUUUUCUCCUCGCAAGGGCAGCUCGGUGGCGACCUCGCCGUAAAACCCCCAACUUCUGAAAGGUUGACCUCGAAUCAGGUAGGAAUACCCGCUGAACUUAAGCAUAUCAAUAAGCGGAGGA